rnacentral:misc_RNA from 1 species
UGCCCCGCAUGAACACCAGCAACAGGAAAACAAGCGUGUCUUGUUGUGGUUGAUCGCUGCUUCGAGGAAGACAACGGAGCUCGACUGUGUGUGUUGGUGUGUCGACGCAGGAGGAGGUACCCUUAUUAGAUCUCGUUCUCCGCAUUGUCUCCACACAGAGAGAGGCGUGGGCCAGGGGUGGAUGUAGUUGGGGAAGAAGGAUGUGUAUAGCCCAGUUUCAUAUCAGGCAUCCUCGCCGUCUCGCCUGCGCCGACAGCACAUCAACGAAUAAUUGGCAACACCGCCACUGUUGGCAGCCAUGAAGCCCACAGACGCCGGCACUGACAACAACACACACGCAGCAUCGGUAUUUGACUGGGCUGAGCGAGAGAUGCACCUGGUCGUCUCUCUCGAGGCCUUCCUGCAUGCCUGGGCGGAGGGGGAUCGAGAAUGCGGCAGAGCGAAGGCGGCGUCAUCUGCGGCUACAGAAGCGGCGGUUUCCCGAGAGGAUGAGCGGCAUCAUCAAGCCGGUGCACAUCCUAAUCCAAUUCUCUGUGCGAGUGGCCUGGAUGCGGCGUCGCUCGCAACCGCUCGAAUCGAGUCAGCCCCGUCCACGUCCACCUUGGCCAACGAGUAUCUCGCCGCGCUACCUCCUCGCCUUCCAGCCCCUCCUCCACGCAGCUUUAGACCCAAUGAGAUGAUGCCUGGGGUCUACCUCGGGUCGUGGAGCGACAUUGGCACCGAUAUACUCGAACUAGCACGACGUCUUCGUAGUGUGUCGACCGGCACGCACGAGUCCUCAUCGUGCACCGCCUCUCGCUCGUCGCAGCGCCUUGUGCUACUCGUGCGCGCCUGCCCAGUGAAGGGGGUAGUUGCGCCGCGACUGGAGCUGCGCGUGACGCGGCGCCUUCGCCUCUCCACAGAAAAAGUGGCCCCUGUGCCCUCUACCAAGGCUGCUGCAGCAGGCGGGCUGCAGCAGCCGUCACAACGGCCACCCGCCAUGCACAGCCGGAAGCUCCCCGGAGCGGCCACAACGGCGGCGCCGGCCGACGAGGACGUCGUGGUGGCGCAGAUGCCACUCAGUGAGGUGUACAAGCGUGUGUGUGCGGCGGUGCCAACGACGAAGGCGGACCCGGUCUCUGACGCCAGCGUCAUCUGCGCAGAAGCCACGGCUUCCAGCAAAGGGGAGAAUUAUUACACCUCAGGCUCUAUCGCCGGCGCCUCCUCAAGCACCACAACCUCGGGUGUCAGCACAGUUGCCAGGUGGCUCUGUCCAGACUCACCGCUCAUAUCGCCGUCGCGGAGUGCUUCACCGGCUAGCUCAACAGCCGCUGACGUCCCGUCCGGCUGCACGUCGGCGGACUGGCAUGUUUUUGUGCGAGCAAUGCAGGGUGUGUUGACAGAGGAGGCAUCGGCGCACACACCGGCGGGCGCCGCAUUGAAUAAUGAAGAGAUAGCCGAGACUGCCGAAGCGGAGCGCCACCCUUGCUCAGCGGCGACGACGGAGCUGCGCUACUGGCGCCUCACUCUGCCAAUUCUCGACUCCCCUGGAACUCGCCUGCUGCACUAUACCCCCAUGACGAGUCUAAUCAUGCGCGCUGCACUGACACUGGAGGAGCACCCGCAGGGACGUGCGUGGCUGCAAGGUCAGCAGCAGCGGCGGGAGGUGGUCAACAACAAUACCCCUGCAGACGGCAGCCAUGCUAUGGUGGACUUUGCCAGCGAAGGUGGCGCGUGUGGGGAAGUCGGUGCUUGCGCCACCGAAGCGAGAGUCUUUCCAUGCGUGGCUGUGCACUGCCAGGCCGGCAAGUCACGCUCUGUCACCUUCGUGGCCGCCUUCCUCAUGCAAGAAUGGAUGUGGUGGUACCGUGGGUGCUAUCCGCCGAAUACUGCAGGUGCGGGCACUAGGACAGCAGAGCAGCAGAAGGAACAACGUGGUCGGCAAGGCAGCAUCGCGCGGCGCCUCGUCGACACCGUCUUGUCGUACCUGCGCCGUCGGCGCCUGUGCAUCGGCAUCAACCUCGGCUUUGACACGCAGCUGUGGGAGAUGAUGUGCGGUUUUGUGCGGAGUCUCUGACCGGGCACGUGUAGAGUCGAAAGAAGCCCGAAGAUGCGCAGCCAUGUGGCACCGCAUUGCGACAACCCUGCUGGCCGGCCGGUACCUGUGAGUAGGCGUAAAUAGACGUGUGUGUGUGUGUGUGUGUGUGUGUGUGUGUUUGCCUUCAUGCGCAUCAGGCUCUCAGCUGCUGCGCAUAGCACCUCACAGCACUGGAAACGAAAGAAAACUUUCUGCCACUGAAGCAGCCAGCGGAGCGGUGGGGAAGGGGGAAGUGGCGAAGGGGAUUCAGUGAAAGGCGACUCGAGCAGACCGCAGGGGGUCGGGGAAGGUGCUGAACCGUGAAAGGCGGUGGCAUGCGCGUGCCGCCCUUCGCCUCACCCGUUAGCUGCCUUGGGUAGGUUGGCGGUCACGGCAGAGACGGAAGUGAUGGGGGGAGGGGGAGGUCGGGAUCUGACGGCGAAGUCGCUGCGCCGACGUCGUUGUGGCAGCCCCUCAGCCCUGCCCAUGUCUUCUCCCCUACUCACCCCAUCCUCUAGAGUUCACAAGCCCAAAAGGAAACACAAUAGCCGUGGACAACUCAGGCCUCGGGCGCUGGCCGAAGGUGGGGGAGAGACCCGGGCGUUUCGUCUUGUGCUCUCUCUCUCUGUACAUGCACGUACACGUACUCUGCCCUCUCGUCAUCGAUGGUUCUAAUCCGCCCUGUUGUCCCCUACCCCUCUCCCUCUCCCUCUCCCCUGACGCGCGCACACGUGUCCAUGCCGCCUCAUUCUUUAG